ACAGGAUAAAUGAAUAAGUUCAGUCAAAGAUGGAUCUUCGGACGUUAUAGAUCAAACAACAUUAUAUAUAGCCAGCAAGAUAAACAACUUCAGACACCAAAUAGCCCUCUGCCAAUUAUGAGAGAUGAACUUUAAUAGUACUUCAAAAAGAAAACUACAACAUAAUUCUAAGCUCCUGCAUCAUUCAAAAAUAUACACACACACAACUGAUCUAAAGACGUACCAGU